rnacentral:lncRNA from 1 species
GACAAUAGUUUUAAGUUGAAUCAAUGCAGACAAUAUCAUUAACUGAUGCUCAUUAGCUAGUUGAUACAUUUGUCUUUUAAAAUAUAACUGACAUAUAAGGAUCGUAUUGGUGCAAUGUGGAUAAAUUUAUCGGUUUCCAAGAGCAAAAUUGGUAGCGCGUCAUCGCUACAAUGGCUUCCAUUUUUACGAUUGUGAAAAUGAACUGGCGUAAUGGGGAGAUAAUUUUGACGAAGUAGGAUCCUGACUGUAUUG